CGAGACUGCCUGGCAAACUCUUAGUCUUGCACAUCCUUCUCCUGCCGCCUCCUCUAGGAAGGCUUCCCUGACCUCCUCACUCCACCGCCCCCCACACCCAUUAAUUGCCUCCUCCUCUUCUUCCUGAACCUUACAUACCUACCUACCCGUUAUAAAUAAUUCUCUGUUCACAUGUCAGCCUCCCCCCGACCAGACAAGGGGGAUUCCCCAAGGGCAAGGACCAGGGGCCUGGGGUCAAUAAAGUGUUGUAGUACAAUGAAUGAAGGCUUCUCCAAGCCGCCUGGUCCACGGUGCACGUUCCCGGCUCUGGUUCCACCAUGCUGAGGGGCAGAGCCCUCUCUUCAGAGGAGCAAGGUCUAGGACAAGGAAGAUAACGACAACAGCACUAACGCUAACGAAACACUUACUCACCAAGUGCCAGGUGCAUAUUCUGCCCCCAGUGCUUUACAUACGUCAAUUCGUUUAACCGCCACAACGCUAUUAUCCCCAUCUCAUAGAUGGGAAGACUGAGGCACAGAGAGGCCUAAGCAACUUUGCCCAAACACACAGCGGGGCAGCCCAGGAGGCGGCUCCAGAGGCCACGCUGUUCACACUUCUCGCUUAAGGGAAGAGAAAGCCGGGAGAAGACCCAAGAGAAGUCAUGCCCACAUCCUCCCUCCAGCCGGCAGUUCUAGGGCUGCGGCUGCUUUCGCUUCCUUCUUAAUUUUUCUGACAAGAACAGAUGCCACCGCAGCUGACAACCAGCCUGUCGGUGUGAACGGGAAGGCAGGUCCGGCCGCUCGUUUGUCUGGCCUAGUGCACAGACUUGCCAGAGCUGUGCCGGCUACAGGAGCACAAGGAGGGAGCAGUCACUCUCACUGUCCUCAAGGCUGACGGCCCCUCAGAGCCUGGCAUGAAGAGGGCUUUGACUUUGACAGAGCAGGACUCCGAAGCCCUGGCUGCCUGGGUGCUUUCGACCAAGUAAACUGCACAAGGUCCUAAGCUCCACAUCUGUAAACUGGGGCGCGGACAGCACCUGCUCUGUUGGGGGCUGGGAGGACUGAGCUCACACGGGGCUCUUGUCAUCCACGGCAGCUCUUUGCACGCAUGUGCGGAUCCGUUCCAUGCUGCGCUCACGCCCCUUCUGCCUCAACCCCCGCAGGAGGGGUGUGGACACUCUGAGACCCUGGUCUCAGAGGAGGGAAGAGCUCGGCUUGGGUGAAACGGCUCCCAGCCCCAAACCAGGCUGAUGCUUCCCCCUGGUUAACAACUGCGGUCCAGGCAGCGGCCCCAGCCCCUGCUAAUUACCAUGAUUAGCACUGAGCAAGCUGCUGCAUUUUAUGACUCUCCAAACCAAAAAAAAUAAUUAAAGCAAUUACUGUCAUUAA